AGAAAAGUAAGCUAAAUUCAAGCUAAUGGGUUCAUACCCCAUUUAUAGAGUCAUAACACUCUCUUCUCUA
rnacentral:tRNA from 1 species